rnacentral:rRNA from 1 species
GACGAACGCUGGCGGCGUGCUUAACACAUGCAAGUCGAACGAAAAGGCCAUGCUCUUGUGGGGUGCUCGAGUGGCGCACGGGUGAGUAACACGUGAGUAACCUGCACUUGUCUUUGUGAUAACUUCAGGGAACUGGGGCUCAUACCGGAUAGGAGAUCCUGCAGCAUGGUGUGGGAUGGUAAAUUUCGGCGGUUGUGGAUGUACUGGCGGCUUAUCCGCUUGUUGGGGGGGUUGUGGCUUACGAAGGCUUUGACGGGUAGCCGGCCUGAGAGGGGGACCGGGGACAAUGGGACUAAGAGACGGACCAGAAUCCAACGGGAGGCAGCAGUGGGGAAUAUUGCGCAAUGGGCGGAAGCCUGAUGCAGCGACGCCGGGUGCGUGAUGACGGCCUACGGGGGGUAAACCGCUUUCGCCGGUGACGAAGCGUGAGUGACGGUAAUGGGUAAAGAAGCACCGGCUAACUACGUG